GUGGGGAAUAUUGGACAAUGGACGCAAGUCUGAUCCAGCAAUGCCGCGUGAGUGAUGAAGGCCUUAGGGUUGUAAAGCUCUUUUACCAGGGAUGAUAAUGACAGUACCUGGAGAAUAAGCUCCGGCUAACUCCGUGCCAGCAGCCGCGGUAAUACGGAGGGAGCUAGCGUUGUUCGGAAUUACUGGGCGUAAAGCGCACGUAGGCGGUUACUCAAGUCAGAGGUGAAAGCCCGGGGCUCAAUCCCGGAACUGCCUUUGAAACUAGGUAGCUAGAAUCCUGGAGAGGUGAGUGGAAUUCAGAGUGUAGAGGUGAAAUUCGUAGAUAUUCGGAAGAACACCAGUGGCGAAGGCGGCUCACUGGACAGGUAUUGACGCUGAGGUGCGAAAGCGUGGGGAGCAAACAGGAUUAGAAACCCCGGUAGUCC
rnacentral:rRNA from 1 species